rnacentral:misc_RNA from 1 species
ACCCGGUGACCGAGAUGGUCCCGUGCCGUCCGCCCGAGGCAGGGCCGUACUCCUCGUGAGCACAGACCAACGGCGGUUGGAGCGGAGCCACAAGGCAACAGUGGAAGGUGAGUCGAUGCAGGUUCCGCCCUGCGUUGACAGCUUAUAGCCCUGCUGUACGGUGCUCCGGCGCGACCGAGGAAAAUGGGGCAGCCCUUGCCCUCCAUGGCGCACGCCGAAUGGCGGGGCCUCCCGACAGGAGCUAACCGUGCGGUGUGGACUGCAUGCAGUGCUAACCGUAACGGUGAUCUCGUGCCGGUGAGUGCCACCUGUGCGCCAGUGCCGUUGGGAUUUAGAC